AUAACCCUGCUGUGUUCGUGAUGCAGCACGACCGGUUUUGAGCCAACACCAAUUAAGAGGGUUCCAAUAUCACUUGAGUGACGCGAUAGACUUCGGUCAAGGCGGAUCUCGGUGGAGGAUCCCAUACCUGCGAAUGCAGGUUCAAAACUACGCAGCACACGGCACGGCGGGGGGUUU
rfam:Bellilinea caldifistulae strain GOMI-1 contig_19, whole genome shotgun sequence.